GUACACGCUGUGACUAGCAUAUCAAUAAGCGGAGGAAAAGAAACUAACAAGGAUUCCCCUAGUAACGGCGAGUGAAGCGGGAAGAGCUCAAAUUUGAAAUCUUAAAGGGAUUCCCUUACGAAUUGUAGUUUAAAGAAGUGUUUUCUGUUGAGGUUUUGGUAAAAGUUCUUUGGAAUAGGACAUCAUAGAGGGUGAGAAUCCCGUAUUUGACCUUUACUUUCAACUUUGUGAUACACUUUCAAAGAGUCGGAUUGUUUGGGAAUGCAGUCCAAAUGGGUGGUAAAUUUCAUCUAAAGCUAAAUAUUGGCGAGAGACCGAUAGCGAACAAGUACCGUGAGGGAAAGAUGAAAAGAACUUUGAAAAGAGAGUUAAACAGUACGUGAAAUUGUCAAAAGGGAAGCGUUUGACACCAGUGUUGUUUUUCUGAAAAUCAAUUAAAGAACUGUUUAUGCUAAGUUGUUUAGACUUUAUCAGCUAACUGUUUAGUUUUGAGCUUUUCUUUAAUGCACUUUUCAGUUAACAAGUCAACAUCAAUUUCUUUUGCUGUAAAAAAGCUUGAGGAAGGUGGCUUGAGAUUCGUCUUAAGUGUUUAUAGCCUCUUGCCUAUGCAGUCGGAGAGAUUGAGGUCUGCAGCGUAGAUCUUUCGGGGCUAAAUGCAUUUGUGCUAAGUUAUAGCAUUUUAUAGACAACUUGUUGACUAUGAUUUGUCUUGUAGCUUACUCGCUUAUGUUAUUUUACCUACGCUUAGGAUGUUGAAGAUGUAGCACAUCAU
rnacentral:rRNA from 1 species